rnacentral:rRNA from 1 species
UACGUAGGGACCGAGCGUUGUCCGGAUUCAUUGGGCGUAAAGGGUGUGUAGGUGGCGCCGUAAGUCGGGUGUGAAAUUUCGGAGCUUAACUCCGAAACUGCAUUCGAUACUGCGGUGCUUGAGGACUGGAGAGGAGACUGGAAUUCAUGGUGUAGCAGUGAAAUGCGUAGAGAUCAUGAGGAAGACCAGUGGCGAAGGCGGGUCUCUGGACAGUUCCUGACACUGAGACACGAAGGCCAGGGGAGCAAACGGG